rnacentral:lncRNA from 1 species
GUGGACUGGAGCGCUGUGCUUUGCUGCUGUCCAUGAUCUCAAUGGCUACUUUCUAGGAAGGUUACUACACAUUUUUCAUUGAAUUGUUAUACCACUAUUUCAAAAAAAGACAUACAGAGGGGAAAUAUUUCUAUUUCUGGCCCGUUUUUCUCUAUCCCCAGAGUCCGGAGCUGGCUCUCCUUUACCAGAGUCAGAUCAUGGUCAUCAGACACGUCCCAUUCUCACUCAACCCAGGGUCAACAGAGUGCUGACCACAAAGCACGUGCUUAAUGAGUGAUGAGUGACCCAAAAAACAAAGAAAUCAGAAGACGGGCAAAAAUUCAUAAUCUAAGGGACUAGAAGAAAUGGGAUAUCCUGUGAGGUUCAGAAAAGCCCAGCAAGGGUCAGGGGACACCACUGCAGAAGAAUCAUUGUCAAAUCAUCGCGUAGGAAAACUCAGCCCCUGGAGGGAAUCGACUGACAGUUUAAGGAGUCAUUGUCCAGUUCAGACUCCAGAAUACGAAACGUAGAAACUGACAGGAAAUGACCAAGUAUAAAUUGCAACUUGUAGAGAAGAAUCAUCUUAAAUCCUGGCACUGCGUUCAAGGGGGAGUUUGAGCAAGGAAUAUUGCUAAAACGGCUAAAACCAGGAACCCAGAAUAUCGUUCUACAAUAGAACCUAAAAACUGUUUCCAACCCAUCACGACAUCACCCUGAAAAAUGAGUGAGCAGUCACUGAGGCUUCCCAAGUUUGAAAAUUCCACAAGACUGAGAGCAAGUGUUUUGUUGAAACUGAAGUCAAGAUGAAGUCAGCUGACUUUCAAACCUCAGGUGAAGUGACUCAGGGCCCACACCCCGGUUCUGAGGCAGGGACACAUUUUACUUGCAGCACCCUGCAGCUUUGGAUGAGGCUGCAACCCGGGUGAAUCCUGGCCCUGCUAUCACGUGGGCAGCCACUGCAUCCUCCGGAGGCUGUGGAUGGGAGUCACCAUGCUGGGGGGGUCUGGAGUAAGAUCUGUGCCAUCUGCCUUGCCCAAUCCUGUACCAGUGCCUGUGUUUCAAAAUCUCAAAAUAAAAGUGAUUAUUCUUGCAACACAUCUAGGUGUACUAAACGAAUA